rnacentral:rRNA from 1 species
CCUACGGGAGGCAGCAGUGAGGAAUAUUGGUCAAUGGGCGCGAGCCUGAACCAGCCAAGUCGCGUGAGGGAAGACGGUCCUAUGGAUUGUAAACCUCUUUUGUCGGGGAGCAAAAGACGCCACGCGUUGCGUUCCGAGAGUACCCGAAGAACAAGCAUCGCCUAACUCCGUGCCAGCAGCCGCGGUAUUACGGGGGAUGCGGGCGUUAUCGGGAUUUAGUGGGUUUAAAGGGUGCGCAGGCGGAAGAUCAAGUCGACGGUAAAAUUGAGAGGCUCAACCUCUUCGAGCCGUUGAAACUGGGUUUCUUGAGUGAGCGAGAAGUAUGCGGAAUGCGUGGUGUAGCGGUGAAAUGCAUAGAUAUCACGCAGAACUCCGAUUGCGAAGGCAGCAUACCGGCGCUCAACUGACGCUCAUGCACGAAAGUGUGGGUAUCGAACAGGAUUAGAUACCCUAGUAGUC